rnacentral:rRNA from 1 species
AACGAACGCUGGCGGCAGGCCUAACACAUGCAAGUCGAACGCCCUAGCAAUAGGGAGUGGCGCACGGGUGCGUAACGCGUGGGAAUAUGCCCUUCACUGCGGAAUAACGUUUGGAAACGAACGCUAAUACCGCAUAAUGACUCCGGUCCAAAGAUUUAUCGGUGAAGGAUUAGCCCGCGUUAGAUUAGCUAGUUGGUGAGGUAAUGGCUCACCAAGGCGACGAUCUAUAGCUGGUCUGAGAGGAUGAUCAGCCACACUGGGACUGAGACACGGCCCAGACUCCUACGGGAGGCAGCAGUGAGGAAUAUUGGACAAUGGGCGCAAGCCUGAUCCAGCCAUGCCGCGUGAGUGAAGAAGGCCUUCGGGUUGUUAAAGGACUCUUUCAGAUGUGAAGAUAAUGACGGUAGCAUCAGAAGAAGCCCCGGCUAAAUUACGUGCCAGCAGCCGCGGUAAU